CUCUCGUAGUCAGAUGUUAGGUUAUCAAGGUAAUCUAAUCAGUACAGAGAGAACAAAGGAGUUUAGUUCCAUGCUUUAAAGCAAAAAAUUGAUUGAAACUGAAGCCGAAAGUACCCUAAUAAUUAGGUGAAAUCUGUGAAAGGUU
rnacentral:ncRNA from 1 species